AUUUCCUCGGUCAAAAUGAUCUCAGUCUUCACCACCUUGACUUUCUGUAUGCUUUGGGCUACAGGCUUCUCUCAGUCUGUGCUGAUCACUCAGUGGCCCCCCUACAUCUCCAAUCUUUCCAGUGGCUUGGCAGAAAUGCAUUGCUACCAGAAUAAUACAGAUUAUCAAUAUCUGUACUGGUAUAGGAAAGGAGGAAAAGGUUUUCAGUUAAUAGUGUACAUAGUAGCAGGCAACGCAAACUUUGAAGAAGGAUUCAAAUCUGGUUUUCAGGCAGAAUCGAAGGACAAGAAGUGGUCUCUGACAAUAUCCAGCAUUCAGAAGGAAGAUGAGGCUGUUUAUCUGUGUGCUGCCAGUCACACAGUUUCACAGUCAGAAGCUUACUUUGGAGCUGGAACUAAACUCACUGUCUUAGAAGAUGACCGUAAACCUGAACCACCAACAGUGAAAGUGCUUCCACCUUCGUUAAAUGAGUGUCGGAACAAAAAAGACAGCAAAAGAAAGAAGACCUUAGUUUGUGUGGCAAGUGAAUUCUACCCAGACCAUGUCAGUGUGUUCUGGCAGAUCGAUGGGGAUAAUGUCACCGAAGGUGUGGCGACAGACGACGCUGCCCUGCGGCCGGAGGGUGAAAGGAAUUACAAAAUCACCAGCAGGUUGAGGGUCCCUGCCGAGUCUUGGUUCACACCCACCCGAGAAUUCAAGUGUCUGGUCCAGUUCUACAAUGGAAAGGAUUAUGAGAUUUAUGAAGACUCCAUUAAUGGUGUUGAAGCUCCAGCUAAAGGAAAUGCUAUAACAAGAGAGAAAUAUCUGAGGGUCACACAGACGGCCAAACUCUCCUACGCUGUUUUCAUCGUCAAGAGCAGCAUCUAUGGAGCCUUUGUGGCGUUUCUGGUGUGGAAGCUUCAGGGAAAGCAGAACAACUGACAGCUGAGCCGAGGCUGAACAAAUGAAGUCUGGGAGAUCAGAAAUGUUGGUUCCUGUAAAUACACAUUGAAAAGUUUUAUUUCCACACCUGUUUGUUAGACAAGGAAAUUCUUGUUAUCUUAAAGCUACUUUGGCGUUUCUAUAAAUGCUCUUUUGUGGUUGUGAACGGCUUGUUUGCUUCAUUUUCUUCUCAAUAAAAGUAUUUCCGAGGA